GACGAACGCUGGCGGCGUGCUUAACACAUGCAAGUCGAACGAUGACGACCGAGCUUGCUCGGUCUGAUUAGUGGCGAACGGGUGAGUAACACGUGAGCAACCUGCCCUUCACUCUGGGAUAACCUCGGGAAAUCGGGGCUAAUACCGGAUAUGAGCUCCUGUCGCAUGGCGGGUGUUGGAAAGUUUUUCGGUGAAGGAUGGGCUCGCGGCCUAUCGGUUUGUUGGUGAGGUAGUGGCUCACCAAGGCGAUGACGGGUAGCCGGCCUGAGAGGGCGACCGGCCACACUGGGACUGAGACACGGCCCAGACUCCUACGGGAGGCAGCAGUGGGGAAUAUUGCACAAUGGGCGAAAGCCUGAUGCAGCGACGCCGCGUGAGGGAUGACGGCCUUCGGGUUGUAAACCUCUUUCAGCAGGGAAGAAGCGAAAGUGACGGUACCUGCAGAAGAAGCGCCGGCUAACUACGUG
rnacentral:rRNA from 1 species